rnacentral:ncRNA from 1 species
ACAUGAACGGUGAUAAGGAAUAGUAGCAGACUUUAGAUGCUCAGAGAAUUGACGGAAGGUGCGAGUCAAUCAUCUAUAGUCUGUGAACUCGCCUUUGAGUUACAGACGUCAACUGCAGUGCUGCCUGCACAGUAAUGUCUGUCGUGAUCCACGUUACGGAUGCUUAAGUGAGUGCCUUUGCUGGCGCUAAAUUGGGUGGUACCGCGGGAAAUCAAACCUCUCGUCCCUUAU